UACGUAGGGUGCAAGCGUUGUCCGGAAUUAUUGGGCGUAAAGAGCUCGUAGGCGGUCUGUCGCGUCGGCUGUGAAAACCCGGGGCUCAACCCCGGGCCUGCAGUCGAUACGGGCAGACUAGAGUGCGGUAGGGGAGACUGGAAUUCCUGGUGUAGCGGUGAAAUGCGUAGAGAUCCGGAAGAACACCGGUGGCGAAGGCGGUCUGCUGGGGUAAUGCUGACACUGAUGCGCGACAGCGUGGGGAGCAAACAGG
rnacentral:rRNA from 1 species